CACCCCACCUCACCAAACCUAAAUCCUCUCAGGCGCUCCCUCCCUCGGCCGCCGACCGCUAGAUCUAGCAAACUGCGCGCCGUCGCCACUCGCCAGCACGCCGUCACUGCGAUAGUGAGGUUGCUGCCAUGUCCCCUUCAUCCUCCUCCACCCCCACUGCUAUCCCCCCAGUGCUAGUGUGCUCUCCCCCUUGUUCGCUAGGGAGAGAUAAAUUGCACCGGCGCGGAGAGGCCAAGGCGCGAUGGUGGACGCCGCUGUCUUUCUCAGAUCCGGGGGUGAGUGAGGGAGGUGCGUAACUAGGGAGAGAGCACACUAGCACUCUCUCAUCACCCAAGCGCCUCCACCGCCGCCGUCACGCCACGGGCCUCCUCCAAUCUGCCCUCGUCGGUUCUGUUCAAGGGGGAUCUGGCCGUUGACUGCUAGUGUUUCCCCUCCCUAGGCGAUCAGCCAUAACUGAUGGUAGUACUUCUAUCCAGCAAGGAGCGCUUUGGUUGGGAGCUCGAGCUUGAGUAGAACGUCGAAUUAGCUCAUGGUGGAAGUGGUUAAUCUUACUCGUAUGAUCGUCCAAGUAGCGUUAGCAAUGAACGCCAUGGAGGUGUUUCUAGGUGCUCUGAGUACCAAGGAGGAAAAAUGGCAAGCGCAAUCGGAAAAGUUUAAGAUGGUGGGGUCAUCGAGGACCAACUGAAAGUAACAGAGUAUGAACUAAUGAGAAGUAGGAACCUUCAAGAAAAUGAGAGACGGAGGGCAGUGGUACGCGAAAAAAGUACUGUUGUGAAGCAAGAUACGGAAGCAAACCACAUACCAAAAAAGAAAAGAAUGGUAUGUGGCUUUCAUCACAUUUAUUUCCUCCGCCAAGAAGAAAAUGUAGCUUCCAGCACUAACCUAUCUAUGCAGGCACCUUCCCAUGCACCUGUAUGCAUGAAUGAAGGACGUGUUUUGAGGUCUAGUGUAACAAAACAUCAUGAUCAUGUAGACCCUACACAUCAGCCCUCGAAAUGCGCAAACAUAAGGAUUGGACUCAUAAUGAACCAUGAAGCCAGCGAUCCGCGUCAACUGGAUGUCUCAUACUUUCAUUUUUUUGGCUGUCCUUCUGUAAAUCUGGUCUAUGGUGUUUUGGUGCUUAGAAUAGGCUGAAGUGUAUGUAUGUGACAAUUAGUUAAUGGAAUAAAAAAUGUUUGAUGCACCUAAUGUAUGUUGUCUUGGUGAUUAUGCUUUA